CUGGCCUCCUGGUAAUAAUUUCAAGAUGCCAGGGUGUUCCAGUACAAAUUCAGGCUCAACUUGUUUUAUAUUCUUCAGUGGAGUAGAAUCUGCUCUCUCUUCCUUAAAAAGCUUCCAGUCCUGCAUCAGCUCUGGAAUGGACACUGUUUUUAGUGUUGCUUUGGAUCUUGUGGAGACUCAGACUGAAGUGAGUAGCGAACACCGUCUGGACAAGGCGAUGAUUGAAUUUGCUAAAAUGGAUUGCAAACUAAACCAUUACGUUAAGGCUGUGCAGUCUACAAUAAAUCAUGUAAAAGAAGAACGACCAGAAAAAAUACCAGAUUUAAAAUUACUGGCAGAGAAGUUUUUGGCUUUACAGGAUAAGAAUUCUGAUGCAGACUUUAAAGACAAUGAAAAGUUUAUGCAAUUUAAGCAACAGCUGAAAGAGCUGAAGCAAUAUGGUAUGCAUGCAGACAGAGAGACUGAUGGGACAGAAGGAGUUGAUGAAGAUAUGAUUGUGACCAGAGCCAAACCAAUUUCAUCUGCCCCAUUACACAGCUGUAAAUGAAGAAACCAGUAAAAAGUAAAGUGUGUGGCCACACCUACGAAAAGGAAGCCAUUGUUCGCAUGAUCAAGUCCAAGCACAAGCAGAAGGCGGCCUGUUGCCCUAAAAUUGGCUGUAGCCACACAGACAGGAGGAUGACUGAUCUCAUCCCAGAUGAAGCCCUGAGAAGGGCACUGGAGAGCCACAACAAGAAGAAAAAUCUCCAUUCUCAGUAG